rnacentral:lncRNA from 1 species
AAUGAACUUCCUGGCUACAGCAAUCUCACUUUCUCAGAAAACGAAACUGAAAUGGGACUGUGGUCACAUGACAGGAGGCACAGUUGUAGCUGCUGCCUUGGGAACUCUUGCUUCUCCUUUCAGACCUGCAGGGGAAGGGACACUGGGCUGGAGGAUCCCCCAGCCAGAGACACGUCUCCUGCAAGGCGGCACCCAAGUUCUGCAGCCAGUGUGGAAAGAGGCUGCCUCCUGCAGCCCAAGGACCAGAUUCUGAGAACAAUAACUCCUAGGUGGCUCCAUCCCUGGAGGAAGAGAUGGAGUUGAGGGAAGCGCUGCAGGAAGACAGGGGACUGUGCUUGUCCCUUGGCUCCAGGGAUCUGCAGGAAAAUGCAGCUGAGCCCAGUUCUGAAGAUGGGUCCUGGACCAUCCAAAGAG